CUGUUCCACAUGUCCAGCUGACUGUGGGGAAUGCCCACUCACAGCUGAUGCCAAGAUAGCAAUUGCUUUACCAAUAUGUUUAGUCUGUGCUGGCUUCAUUCUGACAAUAGUGUGGUUUCAAUAUCAGAAGCAAAAGAUGUUUUGGGAUGAAAGCUGGAUUAUAGACUUCUCCCGCAUCAAACAAGAUCUCAUGCUACGGACGGCAAUGGGCAGCAUCAUUAGUGCAGCCCAUGCACCCAGCAACUCCAACGCCAGCUGUAUCACUGCCCUGAGUUCUUGCACAGCAGCUGUCAACACAUCCAGGA
rnacentral:lncRNA from 1 species